CCCACGAGGCACUUCACCUCACCCCUUUUAUCUUCUCAUUGCCUCUUCAUCUUCAAUCUUCUUUUCUUCCUCACAUUGAUUCUUCCUCCUCUCCCUCUUUCAUUCUUGAAUCUUUCAUUUGGAUCAGAUGUUCGUACAAAGUUCUGAGUGAGAUUUUGUUGUGUGUCGGUGGUGCUACUGCAUCAAAGGGGCACGGCCGGCCGUUCUUCCGGUUCAAGAGCACACUGGCGCACAUGGACGCACGUGCGUCAGCUCAGUCCCAGCGAGACCUCCACCAUCUGCAUCUCCAUGGAUGUGCGGCAACGCCUGGCCAUCCUGUCGGGCUACUUCCGCAGCCUGGUCCUUUGGGUGUUCCCGCGAUCCACGGUGGUGGGCCUGCUGAGCCGGCCGCUGAAGCACGCAUCGGAGACGAUUGGAUGUUCCUACAAUGUUUUCAGUGAGAUUUUGUUGUCCUUUUUCUUUUGAUUUUUUAGAUCAGUAAGGAGAAGGACGAACAGAUCCAUCACUUGCACUCUGUUUGAGGUUUGUGAGGAGUAGGAGGAGCAAAUUCGUGGUGUGCCUCCGAGGUUCUUCGUGGAACUAUCGACGCUGCAUUGCUGCCAACAAUCGAGUCAUCAAUGUCUAUGCCGGGAGUGUAACUGCCUCGCCCUGGCUCUGCCUUUUCGCCUACUAUACGCAUGCAGCCAUGCCACAAGAUGUAUGUAUUGAUCAACAUAUGGUUGAAGCAUGAUAAUUCCGCCCCCCACAUGCACUACCUAUUGCCUUACUGUCAUGGCCGAUAGCUUCACCUGGAGAUGUUGCCGUCUCCACAUGCACAUUGCUAAACCUUGAUGAAGUGGUGAAUUGGUUAUGAACCAAAAUAUUUAAAUAAUUUUGAGUCGGGCCAUUUAUUUCUCCAUGAUUUGGUUUAUAAUUUUUCAUUUGUGCACAUAUUAUUGAAGGAUGGUCGUCUUCCUAGAGUAAUCAAGUUCUGUUGCAAUUCGUACCUAAAGUGAACAUGAAGAUUUCAAUUACCUACCGUGUCAUGUUGAUAUAUCCCCUCUCUUUUUACAUUCCGAGUUUACUAUAAUUUCUGUUUCAAGUGCACCUAAAUUUUGGCUAAGGGUGAUAAGCACAUCCCAAGUCAUAGCAGGUAAUUGUUUUUUAGCUAUUGUAAACCUGAAGUGUUAGCCCUCUAUUAGCUAACUGAAUUUAGAGUACAUACCAAGUUCCAUUGUUUACUAAUUCUAAUUUAUAAUUGUUGCUUCCUCGGGAAUAAAUAAGAUAAGUAUUUGAGUAGGCAGGUUAUGUACGUUUCAUAUCAAGCUCCCUUUGCAACUUUAUUAAGAGGUAAAUAUCUUAGCCCUCUAUUAAUGAUGUCUUUGGAUGUUUAAAUCAUGACAUGUGGCUGCUCAUGUCUUGCUCUCUUGAUGCCUAACUUUUUGGUGUCUUUAGCCUCUCAUAUCGUUUCUUAUUAUUAAAUAAUCAUAUCGAGUAUUGCUAGCACAAUACACUUCUAAA